rnacentral:rRNA from 1 species
AAUGAACGCUGGCGGCAUGCCUAACACAUGCAAGUCGAACGAAGGCCCGAUUUCGGUUGGGUCCUUAGUGGCGCACGGGUGCGUAACGCGUGGGAAUCUGCCCCUUGGUUCGGAAUAACAGUUAGAAAUGACUGCUAAUACCGGAUGAUGACGUAAGUCCAAAGAUUUAUCGCCGAGGGAUGAGCCCGCGUAGGAUUAGCUAGUUGGUGUGGUAAGAGCGCACCAAGGCGACGAUCCUUAGCUGGUCUGAGAGGAUGAUCAGCCACACUGGGACUGAGACACGGCCCAGACUCCUACGGGAGGCAGCAGUGGGGAAUAUUGGACAAUGGGCGAAAGCCUGAUCCAGCAAUGCCGCGUGAGUGAUGAAGGCCUUAGGGUUGUAAAGCUCUUUUACCCGGGAUGAUAAUGACAGUACCGGGAGAAUAAGCUCCGGCUAACUCCGUGCCAGCAGCCGCGGUAAUACGGAGGGAGCUAGCGUUAUUCGGAAUUACUGGGCGUAAAGCGCACGUAGGCGGCUUUGUAAGUAAGAGGUGAAAGCCCAGAGCUCAACUCUGGAAUUGCCUUUUAGACUGCAUCGCUUGAAUCAUGGAGAGGUCAGUGGAAUUCCGAGUGUAGAGGUGAAAUUCGUAGAUAUUCGGAAGAACACCAGUGGCGAAGGCGGCUGACUGGACAUGUAUUGACGCUGAGGUGCGAAAGCGUGGGGGAGCAAACAGGAUUAGAUACCCUGGUAGUCCACGCCGUAAACGAUGAUAACUAGCUGUCCGGGGACUUGGUCCUUGGGUGGCGCAGCUAACGCAUUAAGUUAUCCGCCUGGGGAGUACGGCCGCAAGGUUAAAACUCAAUGAAUUGACGGGGGCCUG